AGGUCGUGUCUUGUGCAACUUG
rnacentral:miRNA from 1 species